AUUGAACGCUGGCGGCAGGCCUAACACAUGCAAGUCGAGCGAGCGGCGGACGGGUGAGUAAUGUCUGGGAGACUGCCUGAUGGAGAGGGAUAACAACUGGAAACGGUCGCUAAUACCGCAUAACAUCAGAUGUGCGCAGAUGGGGUGAGCUAGUAGGUGGGGGAACGGCUCACCUAGGCGACGAUCCCUAGCUGGUCUGAGAGGAUGACCAGCCACACUGGAACUGAGACACGGUCCAGAUUCCUACGUGAGGCAGCAGUGGGGAAUAUUGCACAAUGGGCGCAAGCCUGAUGCAGCCAUGCCGCGUGUGUGAAGAAGGCCUUCGGGUUGUAAAGCACUUUCAGCGGGGAGGCGUUACCCGCAGAAGAAGCACCGGCUAACUCCGUGCCAGCAGCCGCGGUAAUUC
rnacentral:rRNA from 1 species